GAUAUACAUGAAGUUCGGAUUGGCUGGUC
rnacentral:piRNA from 1 species